UCCCUCUUAGCUCAGUGGUAGAGCGCGUCACUAGUACAUGUACAUGACGAGGUCAGUCGGCUAGAGGGAA